rnacentral:rRNA from 1 species
UACGGGGGGGGCAAGCGUUGUUCGGAAUUACUGGGCGUAAAGGGCUCGUAGGCGGCCAACUAAGUCAGACGUGAAAUCCCUCGGCUUAACCGGGGACUGCGUCUGAUACUGGAUGGCUAGAGGUUGGGAGAGGGAUGCGGAAUUCCAGGUGUAGCGGUGAAAUGCGUAGAUAUCUGGAGGAACACCGGUGGCGAAGGCGGCAUCCUGGACCAAUUCUGACGCUGAGGAGCGAAAGCCAGGGGAGCAAACAGG